CCUACCCACAUCCGAGCACAUCCUCUUUCCUUCUCCCCAACUACCGGUUCCAUUUCUUCCUCUUAAGACCUCCUUGCCGGUAUCACCAUCAGUCUUACCAUCCCUCAAGGAUCAAGCUGGGAUUAGUUACAGUACUAUGCUCGCUUAUCAUUGGCCUCUAUUCCAGCUUUGUGCAUUCUCUGGUUUUACCCCCUUUCCGGUAGCACAAGAGAUCUUGCAGUAGGGACUAGGGACUGUGGAAUGGGUGGAACAACAACGAUCAUUAUUAGUCUGCAACAACACUCAAGGACAUGUUUGGAUUGACGCAUUUCACGUCUAAAACCGAUCUAAUCUCUGUUAUGUAUUCAGUCUUCGGCCAAAGGAAGGAGGCCUGGUGGAAUGGGUGGAGUCGGCAAUUUGGUAAGAUCAUACAGGGCUGUGAUAUCAACAAUACUUGAUGAAUCGCUUAUGGGACUUGACUGGAUGAAAAAGCACAAGCAUUAUCUUCUGCAAGUUUGGCUAGUUGCAAUAGACGAAGUUGCAAGGAAGGUUAUCAUGAGAUCACAAAUUGUUGUUCGAUGCUCCAAGUGUGAGGAGAAGCUAUAUUGUACCAGAUGUAUGAAACAAAUUUGGAUUUUUCUGUCUGAAACAAGUGUGAAGAGAAGCUAUAUUGUAUUAGAUGUAACAAGCGAAUUCGGAUUUUUGUCUGAGUGUGAAGAGAAGCUAUAUUGUAUCAGAUGUAUCAAACAAAUUUGGAUUUUUCUAUCCAAUACUGAAUAUAUACUCAUCUCUCAAUUGUUUUAUAGUAUA